GGGCGGAGCGAGAGCAUACACGUUGGGACCCGAAAGAUGGUGAACUAUGCUUGGGCAGGACGAAGCCAGAGGAAACUCUGGUGGAGGUCCGCAGCGAUUCUGACGUGCAAAUCGAUCGUCAGACCUGAGUAUAGGGGCGAAAGACUAAUCGAACCAUCUAGUAGCUGGUUCCCUCCGAAGUUUCCCUCAGGAUAGCUGGCGCUCGAGGGAGGCAGUCUCAUCCGGUAAAGCGAAUGAUUAGAGGCCUUGGGGCCGAAACGACCUCAACCUAUUCUCAAACUUUCAAUGGGUGAGAAGUCCGGCUUGCUCGACUGAAGCCCGGACGUCCCAGGAUGCGAGUGCCCAGUGGGCCACUUUUGGUAAGCAGAACUGGCGCUGUGG
rnacentral:rRNA from 2 species